GAUGAACGCUGGCGGCGUGCUUAACACAUGCAAGUCGAACGGUGAACACGGAGCUUGCUCUGUGGGAUCAGUGGCGAACGGGUGAGUAACACGUGAGCAACCUGCCCCUGACUCUGGGAUAAACGCUGGAAACGGCGUCUAAUACUGGAUACGAGUAGCGGCCGCAUGGUCAGCUACUGGAAAGAUUUUUUGGUUGGGGAUGGGCUCGCGGCCUAUCAGCUUGUUGGUGAGGUAAUGGCUCACCAAGGCGUCGACGGGUAGCCGGCCUGAGAGGGUGACCGGCCACACUGGGACUGAGACACGGCCCAGACACCUACGGGAGGCAGCAGUGGGGAAUAUUGCACAAUGGGCGAAAGCCUGAUGCAGCAACGCCGCGUGAGGGAUGACGGCCUUCGGGUUGUAAACCUCUUUUAGCAGGGAAGAAGCGAAAGUGACGGUACCUGCAGAAAAAGCGCCGGCUAACUACGUGCCAGCCGCCGCAGUAA
rnacentral:rRNA from 1 species